rnacentral:rRNA from 1 species
GAUGAACGCUGGCGGCGUGCUUAACACAUGCAAGUCGAACGGAAAGGCUCCUGCUUGCAGGGGUACUCGAGUGGCGAACGGGUGAGUAACACGUGGGUGAUCUGCCCUGCACUUCGGGAUAAGCCUGGGAAACUGGGUCUAAUACCGGAUAGGACGAUGGCUUGGAUGCCAUUGUGGAAAGUUUUUCGGUGUGGGAUGAGCUCGCGGCCUAUCAGCUUGUUGGUGGGGUAAUGGCCUACCAAGGCGUCGACGGGUAGCCGGCCUGAGAGGGUGUACGGCCACAUUGGGACUGAGAUACGGCCCAGACUCCUACGGGAGGCAGCAGUGGGGAAUAUUGCACAAUGGGCGCAAGCCUGAUGCAGCGACGCCGCGUGGGGGAUGACGGCCUUCGGGUUGUAAACUCCUUUCGCUAGGGACGAAGCGCAAGUGACGGUACCUGGAGAAGAAGCACCGGCUAACUACGUG